UUAAGCGACUAAGCGUACACGGUGGAUGCCCUGGCAGUCAGAGGCGAUGAAGGACGUGCUAAUCUGCGAUAAGCGUCGGUGAGGUGAUAUGAACCGUUAUAACCGGCGAUUUCCGAAUGGGGAAACCCAGUGUGUUUCGACACACUAUCAUUAACUGAAUCCAUAGGUUAAUGAGGCGAACCGGGGGAACUGAAACAUCUAAGUACCCCGAGGAAAAGAAAUCAACCGAGAUUCCCCCAGUAGCGGCGAGCGAACGGGGAGGAGCCCAGAGCCUGAAUCAGUGUGUGUGUUAGUGGAAGCGUCUGGAAAGGCGUGCGAUACAGGGUGACAGCCCCGUACACAAAAAUGCACAUAUUGUGAGCUCGAUGAGUAGGGCGGGACACGUGGUAUCCUGUCUGAAUAUGGGGGGACCAUCCUCCAAGGCUAAAUACUCCUGACUGACCGAUAGUGAACCAGUACCGUGAGGGAAAGGCGAAAAGAACCCCGGCGAGGGGAGUGAAAAAGAACCUGAAACCGUGUACGUACAAGCAGUGGGAGCCUCUUAAUGGGGUGACUGCGUACCUUUUGUAUAAUGGGUCAGCGACUUAUAUUCUGUAGCAAGGUUAACCGAAUAGGGGAGCCGAAGGGAAACCGAGUCUUAACUGGGCGUUAAGUUGCAGGGUAUAGACCCGAAACCCGGUGAUCUAGCCAUGGGCAGGUUGAAGGUUGGGUAACACUAACUGGAGGACCGAACCGACUAAUGUUGAAAAAUUAGCGGAUGACUUGUGGCUGGGGGUGAAAGGCCAAUCAAACCGGGAGAUAGCUGGUUCUCCCCGAAAGCUAUUUAGGUAGCGCCUCGUGAAUUCAUCUCCGGGGGUAGAGCACUGUUUCGGCAAGGGGGUCAUCCCGACUUACCAACCCGAUGCAAACUGCGAAUACCGGAGAAUGUUAUCACGGGAGACACACGGCGGGUGCUAACGUCCGUCGUGAAGAGGGAAACAACCCAGACCGCCAGCUAAGGUCCCAAAGUCAUGGUUAAGUGGGAAACGAUGUGGGAAGGCCCAGACAGCCAGGAUGUUGGCUUAGAAGCAGCCAUCAUUUAAAGAAAGCGUAAUAGCUCACUGGUCGAGUCGGCCUGCGCGGAAGAUGUAACGGGGCUAAACCAUGCACCGAAGCUGCGGCAGCGACACUAUGUGUUGUUGGGUAGGGGAGCGUUCUGUAAGCCUGUGAAGGUGGCCUGUGAGGGUUGCUGGAGGUAUCAGAAGUGCGAAUGCUGACAUAAGUAACGAUAAAGCGGGUGAAAAGCCCGCUCGCCGGAAGACCAAGGGUUCCUGUCCAACGUUAAUCGGGGCAGGGUGAGUCGACCCCUAAGGCGAGGCCGAAAGGCGUAGUCGAUGGGAAACAGGUUAAUAUUCCUGUACUUGGUGUUACUGCGAAGGGGGGACGGAGAAGGCUAUGUUGGCCGGGCGACGGUUGUCCCGGUUUAAGCGUGUAGGCUGGUUUUCCAGGCAAAUCCGGAAAACCAAGGCUGAGGCGUGAUGACGAGGCACUACGGUGCUGAAGUGACAAAUGCCCUGCUUCCAGGAAAAGCCUCUAAGCAUCAGGUAACAUCAAAUCGUACCCCAAACCGACACAGGUGGUCAGGUAGAGAAUACCAAGGCGCUUGAGAGAACUCGGGUGAAGGAACUAGGCAAAAUGGUGCCGUAACUUCGGGAGAAGGCACGCUGAUAUGUAGGUGAAGCGACUUGCUCGUGGAGCUGAAAUCAGUCGAAGAUACCAGCUGGCUGCAACUGUUUAUUAAAAACACAGCACUGUGCAAACACGAAAGUGGACGUAUACGGUGUGACGCCUGCCCGGUGCCGGAAGGUUAAUUGAUGGGGUUAGCGGUAACGCGAAGCUCUUGAUCGAAGCCCCGGUAAACGGCGGCCGUAACUAUAACGGUCCUAAGGUAGCGAAAUUCCUUGUCGGGUAAGUUCCGACCUGCACGAAUGGCGUAAUGAUGGCCAGGCUGUCUCCACCCGAGACUCAGUGAAAUUGAACUCGCUGUGAAGAUGCAGUGUACCCGCGGCAAGACGGAAAGACCCCGUGAACCUUUACUAUAGCUUGACACUGAACAUUGAGCCUUGAUGUGUAGGAUAGGUGGGAGGCUUUGAAGUGUGGACGCCAGUCUGCAUGGAGCCGACCUUGAAAUACCACCCUUUAAUGUUUGAUGUUCUAACGUUGGCCCGUAAUCCGGGUUGCGGACAGUGUCUGGUGGGUAGUUUGACUGGGGCGGUCUCCUCCUAAAGAGUAAUGGAGGAGCACGAAGGUUGGCUAAUCCUGGUCGGACAUCAGGAGGUUAGUGCAAUGGCAUAAGCCAGCUUGACUGCGAGCGUGACGGCGCGAGCAGGUGCGAAAGCAGGUCAUAGUGAUCCGGUGGUUCUGAAUGGAAGGGCCAUCGCUCAACGGAUAAAAGGUACUCCGGGGAUAACAGGCUGAUACCGCCCAAGAGUUCAUAUCGACGGCGGUGUUUGGCACCUCGAUGUCGGCUCAUCACAUCCUGGGGCUGAAGUAGGUCCCAAGGGUAUGGCUGUUCGCCAUUUAAAGUGGUACGCGAGCUGGGUUUAGAACGUCGUGAGACAGUUCGGUCCCUAUCUGCCGUGGGCGCUGGAGAACUGAGGGGGGCUGCUCCUAGUACGAGAGGACCGGAGUGGACGCAUCACUGGUGUUCGGGUUGUCAUGCCAAUGGCACUGCCCGGUAGCUAAAUGCGGAAGAGAUAAGUGCUGAAAGCAUCUAAGCACGAAACUUGCCCCGAGAUGAGUUCUCCCUGACUCCUUGAGGGUCCUGAAGGAACGUUGAAGACGACGACGUUGAUAGGCCGGGUGUGUAAGCGCAGCGAUGCGUUGAGCUAACCGGUACUAAUGAACCGUGAGGCUUAACCUU
rnacentral:rRNA from 2 species